rnacentral:rRNA from 1 species
UACGUAGGGAGCAAGCGUUGUCCGGAAUCAUUGGGCGUAAAGCGCGCGUAGGUGGCCUCAUAAGUCCGCUGUGAAAGUCAAAGGCUCAACCUUUGAAAGCCGGUGGAUACUGUGGGGCUAGAGUACGGAAGGGGCGAGUGGAAUUCCUGGUGUAGCGGUGGAAUGCGCAGAUAUCAGGAGGAACACCAAUAGCGAAGGCAGCUCGCUGGGACGUUACUGACACUGAGGCGACGAAGACGUGGGGGAGCGAACAGG